AGCGUACACGGUGGAUGCCCUGGCAGUCAGAGGCGAUGAAGGACGUGCUAAUCUGCGAUAAGCGUCGGUAAGGUGAUAUGAACCGUUAUAACCGGCGAUUUCCGAAUGGGGAAACCCAGUGUGAUUCGUCACACUAUCAUUAACUGAAUCCAUAGGUUAAUGAGGCGAACCGGGGGAACUGAAACAUCUAAGUACCCCGAGGAAAAGAAAUCAACCGAGAUUCCCCCAGUAGCGGCGAGCGAACGGGGAGCAGCCCAGAGCCUGAAUCAGUGUGUGUGUUAGUGGAAGCGUCUGGAAAGGCGCGCGAUACAGGGUGACAGCCCCGUACACAAAAAUGCACAUGCUGUGAGCUCGAUGAGUAGGGCGGGACACGUGGUAUCCUGUCUGAAUAUGGGGGGACCAUCCUCCAAGGCUAAAUACUCCUGACUGACCGAUAGUGAACCAGUACCGUGAGGGAAAGGCGAAAAGAACCCCGGCGAGGGGAGUGAAAAAGAACCUGAAACCGUGUACGUACAAGCAGUGGGAGCACGCUUAGGCGUGUGACUGCGUACCUUUUGUAUAAUGGGUCAGCGACUUAUAUUCUGUAGCAAGGUUAACCGAAUAGGGGAGCCGAAGGGAAACCGAGUCUUAACUGGGCGUUAAGUUGCAGGGUAUAGACCCGAAACCCGGUGAUCUAGCCAUGGGCAGGUUGAAGGUUGGGUAACACUAACUGGAGGACCGAACCGACUAAUGUUGAAAAAUUAGCGGAUGACUUGUGGCUGGGGGUGAAAGGCCAAUCAAACCGGGAGAUAGCUGGUUCUCCCCGAAAGCUAUUUAGGUAGCGCCUCGUGAAUUCAUCUCCGGGGGUAGAGCACUGUUUCGGCAAGGGGGUCAUCCCGACUUACCAACCCGAUGCAAACUGCGAAUACCGGAGAAUGUUAUCACGGGAGACACACGGCGGGUGCUAACGUCCGUCGUGAAGAGGGAAACAACCCAGACCGCCAGCUAAGGUCCCAAAGUCAUGGUUAAGUGGGAAACGAUGUGGGAAGGCCCAGACAGCCAGGAUGUUGGCUUAGAAGCAGCCAUCAUUUAAAGAAAGCGUAAUAGCUCACUGGUCGAGUCGGCCUGCGCGGAAGAUGUAACGGGGCUAAACCAUGCACCGAAGCUGCGGCAGCGACACUAUGUGUUGUUGGGUAGGGGAGCGUUCUGUAAGCCUGUGAAGGUGUACUGUGAGGUAUGCUGGAGGUAUCAGAAGUGCGAAUGCUGACAUAAGUAACGAUAAAGCGGGUGAAAAGCCCGCUCGCCGGAAGACCAAGGGUUCCUGUCCAACGUUAAUCGGGGCAGGGUGAGUCGACCCCUAAGGCGAGGCCGAAAGGCGUAGUCGAUGGGAAACAGGUUAAUAUUCCUGUACUUGGUGUUACUGCGAAGGGGGGACGGAGAAGGCUAUGUUGGCCGGGCGACGGUUGUCCCGGUUUAAGCGUGUAGGCUGGUUUUCCAGGCAAAUCCGGAAAAUCAAGGCUGAGGCGUGAUGACGAGGCACUACGGUGCUGAAGCAACAAAUGCCCUGCUUCCAGGAAAAGCCUCUAAGCAUCAGGUAACAUCAAAUCGUACCCCAAACCGACACAGGUGGUCAGGUAGAGAAUACCAAGGCGCUUGAGAGAACUCGGGUGAAGGAACUAGGCAAAAUGGUGCCGUAACUUCGGGAGAAGGCACGCUGAUAUGUAGGUGAAGUCCCUCGCGGAUGGAGCUGAAAUCAGUCGAAGAUACCAGCUGGCUGCAACUGUUUAUUAAAAACACAGCACUGUGCAAACACGAAAGUGGACGUAUACGGUGUGACGCCUGCCCGGUGCCGGAAGGUUAAUUGAUGGGGUUAGCGCAAGCGAAGCUCUUGAUCGAAGCCCCGGUAAACGGCGGCCGUAACUAUAACGGUCCUAAGGUAGCGAAAUUCCUUGUCGGGUAAGUUCCGACCUGCACGAAUGGCGUAAUGAUGGCCAGGCUGUCUCCACCCGAGACUCAGUGAAAUUGAACUCGCUGUGAAGAUGCAGUGUACCCGCGGCAAGACGGAAAGACCCCGUGAACCUUUACUAUAGCUUGACACUGAACAUUGAGCCUUGAUGUGUAGGAUAGGUGGGAGGCUUUGAAGUGUGGACGCCAGUCUGCAUGGAGCCGACCUUGAAAUACCACCCUUUAAUGUUUGAUGUUCUAACGUUGACCCGUAAUCCGGGUUGCGGACAGUGUCUGGUGGGUAGUUUGACUGGGGCGGUCUCCUCCUAAAGAGUAACGGAGGAGCACGAAGGUUGGCUAAUCCUGGUCGGACAUCAGGAGGUUAGUGCAAUGGCAUAAGCCAGCUUGACUGCGAGCGUGACGGCGCGAGCAGGUGCGAAAGCAGGUCAUAGUGAUCCGGUGGUUCUGAAUGGAAGGGCCAUCGCUCAACGGAUAAAAGGUACUCCGGGGAUAACAGGCUGAUACCGCCCAAGAGUUCAUAUCGACGGCGGUGUUUGGCACCUCGAUGUCGGCUCAUCACAUCCUGGGGCUGAAGUAGGUCCCAAGGGUAUGGCUGUUCGCCAUUUAAAGUGGUACGCGAGCUGGGUUUAGAACGUCGUGAGACAGUUCGGUCCCUAUCUGCCGUGGGCGCUGGAGAAUUGAGGGGGGCUGCUCCUAGUACGAGAGGACCGGAGUGGACGCAUCACUGGUGUUCGGGUUGUCAUGCCAAUGGCACUGCCCGGUAGCUAAAUGCGGAAGAGAUAAGUGCUGAAAGCAUCUAAGCACGAAACUUGCCCCGAGAUGAGUUCUCCCUGACUCCUUGA
rnacentral:rRNA from 1 species